UACGUAGGUGUCAAGCGUUGUCCGGAAUUAUUGGGCGUAAAGCGCGCGCAGGUGGUUUCUUAAGACUGAUGUGAAAACCCACGGCUCUACCGUGGAGGGUCAUUGGAAAUUGGGGAACUUGAGUGCAGAAGAGGAAAGUGGAAUUCCACGUGUAGCGGUGAAAUGCGUAGAGAUGUGGAGGAACACCAGUGGCGAAGGCGACUUUCUGGUCUGUAACUGACACUGAGGCGCGAAAGCGUGGGGAGCGAACAGG
rnacentral:rRNA from 1 species